rnacentral:rRNA from 1 species
CUAGAGAUAGAAAGUUACUUCGGUACAUCGGUGACAGGUGGUGCAUGGUUGUCGUCAGCUCGUGUCGUGAGAUGUUGGGUUAAGUCCCGCAACGAGCGCAACCCCUAUUGUUAGUUGCCAUCAUUCAGUUUGGGCACUCUAGCGAGACUGCCGGUAAUAAACCGGAGGAAGUGGGAUGACGUCAAAUCAUCAUGCCCUUAUGACCUGGGCUACACACGUGCUACAAUGGUUGGUACAACGAGUUGCGAGUCGGUGACGGCGAGCUAAUCUCUUAAAGCCAAUCUCAGUUCGGAUUGUAGGCUGCAACUCGCCUACAUGAAGUCGGAAUCGCUAGUAAUCGCGGAUCAGCACGCCGCGGUGAAUACGUUCCCGGGCCUU